GUCUUUCUAGUAUAACUUAGUAUAAGUGAUUUCCAAUCACCCGGCCUUGGUUAAAGUCCAAGGAAAGAUA
rnacentral:tRNA from 1 species